rnacentral:rRNA from 1 species
UAGGGAAUCUUCCGCAAUGGGCGAAAGCCUGACGGAGCAACGCCGCGUGAGUGAUGAAGGUCUUCGGAUCGUAAAACUCUGUUAUUAGGGAAGAACAAAUGUGUAAGUAACUAUGCACGUCUUGACGGUACCUAAUCAGAAAGCCACGGCUAACUACGUACCAGCAGCCGCGGUAAUACGUAGGUGGCAAGCGUUAUCCGGAAUUAUUGGGCGUAAAGCGCGCGUAGGCGGUUUUUUAAGUCUGAUGUGAAAGCCCACGGCUCAACCGUGGAGGGUCAUUGGAAACUGGAAAACUUGAGUGCAGAAGAGGAAAGUGGAAUUCCAUGUGUAGAGGUGAAAUGCGCAGAGAUAUGGAGGAACACCAGUGGCGAAGGCGACUUUCUGGUCUGUAACUGACGCUGAUGUGCGAAAGCGUGGGGAUCAAACAGG